AUGUAAAUAGUGAAUUCCCUUCCAAAAUUGUAAAAAUUCAGUUUCUUUUCCAUUGUUGAAAAAUCAAGAAGGGUUUAAAAGACGUAGAGUUUUGCUUUGAAUUAGUGAAAAAAAGUGCGAGCGUCGUUUCCUUUUUUAUAUUAGCGGCAUCUUUAGAAACACUCGUCAAAGACAGCAGCACCUCAGAGCAUCUUAUCGUGGUAAACUACAGGUAGGUACAAAAGUUCACAGAGCAGUUAGGCCGCUUGACUUGAUGUUGUGAUGGACAAGCAGUCCAUAAGGUGUAUCAGUUGGAGCUGGAACUUUCAAUGAAUUUUUCCUAGACAAAGUUGUACUUUUUACCUGAUGACCUCUUUCAGCUAACUUCAAGCUAUUCAACUGAAAAUUUACGGCUCAAUUAAUCAUCUCUCACCAUUAGACCAAAUAGGAUCUUCGAGUCACUUGGUGAGCCACGGACGACAGCAACGCCGCUGCCCCUGUUUCCGGCACCGCUGCACAAUGGAUACGGAAAGCGACGGCGACUAUGAAUAGAACCAGCGGGAUAAUCAUCAGCACGAUCAACAAGGAAUGACAAUGACAAAAUAAUAACAGCCGUAGCCGUAACAGUGGCGGUGGUGAUGCGCCGAAGCCAACGAGAAAGACUGAUUUGAGGGGUCUUUCAUUUGCUGUCUCAUGCUUCCAUUGGCAAUCUGUUUAGCUAUCGGCCGGUUGGGUUUCGUGGCUGAUGAGAGCUUACGUGCUACGCCUCUAUCCGUGCUUUCCCGGAGUCAACACAGAACAGAGCGGGAUCGUCGGCGUUGUGCCCGCCCCAAUCAUCACCAGUAGCAUCACCAUUAUACUCAUCAUUAAACCAUUUUCCUGCUAAUGUUGCAGCUGAAGUUUAAGUUACUGCCGGUACAUUCAGUCCCACGGAAGUGUCACUUUGAGAAAGUUAUUUGUUAGCCAGGCAACGAUCCGCGCGUAGUCGCAGUUGCAGCAACGACGGCAGUGUUGCCUCGGCAGAGGCUUGAGAGCAAGGGCUGCUUCGUCAUUGUCCGUAACAAAAUUUUGUCGAUACGUUAAUGAAAUCGCAAGCGGAAUGAUAGCGAUGGAUAUUAGAUACUAUAUUUUGCAUUAGCGGCAUCUAUUGUGAUUCGAAUUGGUCGUUGUUGUGGUAAGUGUCAACCUGAAUGCGAGCAAAAUUUCACAAUGGAAACAGGACAGUGCUAGCUGCAAUAACAAGGUCGGUCGCGGCAAAGCUCGUAAAAAAUCUUCGGAAGACAUUCGCACCCCAAUAAUGUUCUUCUUUAAACAGCAGCUUGUGAUGAACAUUCGAAUGUUCAGCAUAGCAUAGAUGCUUUCGCAGGCCGUAACUUCCUUGGCGGUGGAAACACUGUUUUCGUUAACGUCAUCAUCGGGUUUGGUGUUCUUGUC